rnacentral:rRNA from 1 species
GACGAACGCUGGCGGCGUGCCUAAUACAUGCAAGUAGAACGCUGAAGAGAGGAGCUUACUCUUCUUGGAUGAGUUGCGAACGGGUGAGUAACGCGUAGGUAACCUGCCUUGUAGCGGGGGAUAACUAUUGGAAACGAUAGCUAAUACCGCAUAACAAUGGAUGACACAUGUCAUUUAUUUGAAAGGGGCAAUUGCUCCACUACAAGAUGGACCUGCGUUGUAUUAGCUAGUAGGUGAGGUAAUGGCUCACCUAGGCGACGAUACAUAGCCGACCUGAGAGGGUGAUCGGCCACACUGGGACUGAGACACGGCCCAGACUCCUACGGGAGGCAGCAGUAGGGAAUCUUCGGCAAUGGGGGCAACCCUGACCGAGCAACGCCGCGUGAGUGAAGAAGGUUGUCGGAUCGUAAAGCUCUGUUGUAAGUCAAGAACGGGUGUGAGAGUGGAAAGCUCACACUGUGACGGUAGCUUACCAGAAAGGGACGGCUAACUACGUG